GGGCUAUUCAAUAAAGUGAUUGUCAACUAAAUUAACAACACAAAUUUAUGGGAAAAGGACAAGCAUGCUAACAGGUCACCUAGGAAUUAGGUAUGUUAGCAUCUACAAACCGUUAGAUGCAAUAAAAAAGAUCUCAUCCGUUCAUAAAUAUUACCUUACAUAACCUUCCCAAUACCGCCACUCUACAACCCAUUUUUCUACCUUUCUCCGGCUCCCCCUUUGUUCCACAAAUUCGUCAAUCUCCAUUGCCGUCUCUCUUGUCCUACAUGCCCCCGCCUGCCGUGCAAUUGAGAGGGAUUUCACACCCGUCUGAGAAUCCAAAAGGAAGAGAUUACUUUUUCUGCAAUCUUUCCAAAUCCAACCAUGGAAUUAUAGAUUAGAAGCAGAUGAGUUCAGCGUCUGCAACUCUUAGUUUUUGUUAAUGGCAACCAUAAUUAACCUGAUUAUAUUUCUUGUUUCUUAUUUUAAAUUUGUAAUUGUAUCUCUCUUUGAAUCAAACUCACAGAAAGCAUGAGAUUGAGAAAAGAAAAUGCAGAGAUCACAAACACCUAUGGGCCUUCCUCUGUUCUUUUUUCUCAUCUUCUUCCUCUCAUCCUUGAAUGUCUCUUGCGCCGGAAAAACUGCCCAGAAUUCCAUCUAAGAAGACAAUCCCGUUCUUGGAUCUAAAAUCCAUACCUUAUUCCACUUCUUGCUUUCCCUUCGGUUCUUCCCAUAGUUUUUUCCGUCAUCGUCUCUUUCUUUGAUAAAUGAAAUUUCCAUCUUAGUUUAUCAUGAAGCAAAGCCUCAUGGAGUCUCACUCGAAUCAUGCAGAGGAAGUCUGAAUUUUCAGAAGAAGGGUUUGGUGAAGAAGCUUUUUGUUAAAAUUUUGCAUUUGUAUUUAUGUCUCAAAACUAUUGCAUUCCCAGUUCAUUCUUCUUUUUUUUUUUUUCUUUUUAUCUUGAUAUUUUGAACAUUUUCAUGAACCCAUUUAUUGUUUCUGUGGUUUGCUGGUAUAAAGAAAUUGGAGAAGACAAUCCAUUCACAGCUAAAACUUCUUUGAUCUGCUACCAGAACAAGAAGAUCAGCAACAACUUAUCCAAAUCAUCGCUACUUCUCUCCAAGGCGUCUCCUUUGAACGCCGUGGAGUCAUCCUACCUCACUAAAUUUACCAGCAUUGAGGAGUUGCAGAGUUUUCCAGCCGUAUCUACCAAGCCCAAGAAGAAGAAGAUGUAGAUAAGAUGUAGCAGUUGUAGAGUGAAAGUUUAAAUCUUUUACCUUCA